rnacentral:lncRNA from 1 species
AAAACAGCUUCAAUCUUCGAGGAUGGUCAACUUCAGAAGUUAGGGAGUCUUCUAGCUUUAGCCAAAAUUUUAUUUAUCAACUGUGGGGGAGGAUUUGAGAGCUCCCCAAUCUCUACACACUUCUCUAAUGAGAGUCUAUACCAAAAUCAAGAUACCCAUACCCUUCCACUCAAGAAACUUAAGUAAUUGCUUAGAGAAAUAACAAAAUACUUGGCCCCACUCUAACAAACACAUUCCUAAGGACCUACACAAAUAGAAAAAUACCAACUAAC